rnacentral:lncRNA from 1 species
GCCGGUUUGGAAUAUAAAAUUUUCAAAGAAACGUUUUUUGUCGAGAAUAAUAAAAUUUAUUUUUGAGACAAUGAUGACUAUUCAGUAUAUGUUCACUGUUAUAAGAAAUAUCCGUCCAGUUACCUGCCUGCAUGGUCCUUUUCACAGAUUUUUUUACAAAGACUUCGUCAUUUAUUUUUUUCUAAAUCGGUUAAACCGUCAAUCACAAUAAACUGCCGUAUUAUGUAUGUCUGUUAUUUAAUCGAACUCAAGACUGGAUCAUUAAUUAAAUAGAUAAAAAGGAGAAACAACUUUUAAAACUAAUUAAUUGCUUCCAAACUAGUCAAUAGAUUUAUUAACUUAUAAAAUAUUUUCAUAAACACCAGUAUUUGUUCUAUAUAAUAUGCAAUGGGUCAAUACACGACAUACAUGUUGUACGUGAAUGUACAUUUUUUUACAAGAGAUUCCAUGGUUAGCAUAUAACACCAAUGCAUCAAUAGUUUCAUCGAGUAUGCGAUUUUAUU